rnacentral:rRNA from 1 species
UACGGGAGGCAGCAGUGGGGAAUAUUGGACAAUGGGCGAAAGCCUGAUCCAGCCAUGCCGCAUGAGUGAAGAAGGCCUUCGGGUUGUAAAGCUCUUUUAGUGAGAAAGAUAAUGACGGUACUCACAGAAGAAGUCCUGGCUAACUCCGUGCCAGCAGCCGCGGUAAUACGGAGAGGGCUAGCGUUAUUCGGAAUUACUGGGCGUAAAGGGCACGCAGGCGGUUAAUAAGUUGGAUGUGAAAUCCCGGGCUUAACCUGGGAAUGGCAUUCAAGACUGGUUAGCUAGAGUCUUGUAGAGGGGGUAGAAUUCCAUGUGUAGCGGUGAAAUGCGUAGAGAUGUGGAGGAAUACCGGUGGCGAAGGCGGCCCCUGGCAAAGCUGACGCUCAUGUGCGAAAGCGUGGGGAGCAAACAGGGAUUAGAUACC